rnacentral:lncRNA from 1 species
AGAACUUGCCUGCCGUUCAUGAAGCAWAAGGAUUAUUUCCUCUGUCUUAUACAUGAAACUUCUGUUUUGACAUCUCAUGCAUCAUGCCACUGAAACAGGCUUUCCAGCUGCAUGUUCCCAGCUGUGACCAACUGAAGGGAGAGAAUUACCAAAUAAGAACAGGCUGAACAAGACAAUAAUCUCCUCCAAUCAAAGCCUGCCAGGCUUGAAGACAGUCCAGAGUCUCUGUAGCACUGUGUGAAUCAGUCCUGCCUCUGGCAUGCCUUGGCCCCAGGAUAUGCUGCACACACCCUUUUGCCCAGCUGGAGAGGACUUCACUGAAUGAAUGGCUUUUKGCAGCCUUCCAUAUGGCUUACCUUGACAUAUCCUUCUCUCAAGAGGGCUGAGAACGCUGUGCAGUCCUCUUCUAAGCUACUGCCAAAACUGCCUCUGCUAUUGAGCAGUGCCAUGGCCGUUCUGCUCAUCCCGCCAUUGCAUGCAUGUGUGAUAGUUCGGAUGACACGAAUGAUGGACGUGAUCUUCAUGUCUGACACAGAGAGGGAGCUGUUGAGGCUGCAAAUAGCAACAAGCAAAAAAAUCAAGAGUCAGGUGCAUCUGUACCAAAAUAACAGUCAUAUGGAUCGAUAG